rnacentral:rRNA from 1 species
GACGAACGCUGGCGGCGUGCUUAACACAUGCAAGUCGAACGGAAAGGCCCUGCUUUUGUGGGGUGCUCGAGUGGCGAACGGGUGAGUAACACGUGAGUAACCUGCCCUUGACUUUGGGAUAACUUCAGGAAACUGGGGCUAAUACCGGAUAGGAGCUCCUGCUGCAUGGUGGGGGUUGGAAAGUUUCGGCGGUUGGGGAUGGACUCGCGGCUUAUCAGCUUGUUGGUGGGGUAGUGGCUUACCAAGGCUUUGACGGGUAGCCGGCCUGAGAGGGUGACCGGCCACAUUGGGACUGAGAUACGGCCCAGACUCCUACGGGAGGCAGCAGUGGGGAAUAUUGCACAAUGGGCGGAAGCCUGAUGCAGCAACGCCGCGUGCGGGAUGACGGCCUUCGGGUUGUAAACCGCUUGCGCCUGUGACGAAGCGUGAGUGACGGUAAUGGGUAAAGAAGAACCGGCUAACUACGUG